AACGGCGUGUGGCGGCCUGAGGGGAGUUAUGGCCGGCUGUGCCCGGCCUGCCUCCGCCUCCUCCCGCGCCGUAUCCCUCGCACCUCAUUAGUUGCCAGUGCAGUACCCUCAGCUUGGCGCCCAUGAGUGGGGCUGCGGUAGGCCAGUGCGCGGUUGAGGGCAGCAGGGUGCCCAGGGGGGCUGUACUGAGCAGUAAGAUGGAGGACGGUCCUCUGCGGUCUGGGAAUUGUUGCUGCCGAAGGAGGUGGCCACAAAGGCUGCUUCCCAAGUCUCAGUGUGCCCCACAGCUGGCACCUGCUCUCCUAAAAACCCUGAAGCCUAUCAAGGGGGUUCACUUGGAAUAGAUGUGGGGUGUUGGUGCUGCUGACGUCUGCUGGGGGUCAGAGUGUCACAGCUGCCAGAGCCUGGGAGAGGUUGGAGUUGUGGGCGUCCUAUUUCCAUCCUUAUUGCCUCUCCAAACGAAAUACGACCAGUCCUGGGAAAACCACAGAAGUCAUCCUUGGAAGACCUACGCCCUAGUUUCAUAACCUGUGAGGGAAGUACUGCUUGGUUAACGAAAGAGAAGAAUUUCCAAAACAAAACUGUCUGACUUCAGAUGGGGCUUUCUGCAAGUUGUCACAACACUGACAGAAUUGAAGCAAGGGAACCAAACCAUGAUGUGCUUCUAUUACUCCAUCAACUGCUGAAUGUGUUUGUGGGACUGCUCAAUGAAACUGAAUCCAAAAGACACAACCAGCACCAGAUACUCUUCAGUCUUCUUGGAGAUUGGCCUCAUGUUCCUGUGCACCUGUCUGGUAGAACCUGCUUUGUUUCUCAGAAGACUCCCCAUGGAGAGCCUAGCUGCCUGAAGCCAUGCUGCAGCAACCCACAGAGUCUGACCCUAACCAUCUUCCAACAAGUUUUAUUUACAGGGUGGAAACACCAUUUGCUUAGUAACUUCUGUAGAGAAAAUAGAAGAAAACACUGGGUUUUAGAAAGAGCCUAUUGAAGGGAAAAUGGUCCUAAGAAUUGGCAAUCAUGAUCUGUGAGAGAUGGACUGUGCUUGUGCUUUGAAUCUACUCUUCUGCAUUCUUAAAUAUCAAUCUUACAGACACAGCAGUGGACGACAAGGAGGAAGAAGAAACUCUGCAUUGAGUCCAGCAAAACUAUUUCUUUGGUUAAGGUUUCAUAUAUCAUUUGGGCUAAAUUGCACUGUUACUCAUACACAUAGAACAUGAUUUCAGUGGGAGCUGGGUGAAAAAAUAAUAGAAACCAAAGAGUUUGGUCCUUGUCUUGUAACUCGGAGUCUACUGCUGAAAACAGUGCUGCAUUAAUGCUCUAAGAGUCUCUUUGGAGCAUUUUAGGUUCACACUCGCAGAAGUUCCUGAUGGCAACGGAAGGAGUUGUGCAUGUCUGGGGCAUAUCUGGUGCACACCACUUUGAGUGAUCUAGCAACCUGAAAAAAGAUGUGUCUUUGAAAGAUUACAGUGCUUUUGAAUGUCAUGUCUUUUUGAAAUCUAAAAUUCAGCAAGGCAAACAGUUACUGAAAAAUAAGGAUUUAGAGAUCUUAUCCCUUAUUCCUUUAUAUUUUCUUCUAACACACUUACAGAUAUGAUCCAAACCUGUGUUUUAAAACCAGAGAAUCCUUGAAUAUAAUCUACCCAAAGCAGUCUUUGCUUGAUUUUGGUCUCUUCUUCACAACUGAUGAUAAAACAAAGCGAUCAGGGCAAAUUGUUUGCUCUUUCCCAUGUGCCCAUUUUCAGACAGAAAAAAACUGCAACGUAUGGAAUGAUAAUUCUCUGAAAUCUAGAGGCCUAAAAAUGUGCAGGGGACUCUCUCAUAAAUAGUUUAUGUCCUCGAAGGAAGCUCCUUGGUGCAGUCUAGAUUGGAUUGAGGCCCCCUCUUUGACCAUUGUGUCUUCCUUGUAGCCAAGAAGCUCAGCACCUGUUUGCCAAGAUUUGUGCUGUCUAAGCUGCAGUGAAGCAGCUCCUUGGGAAAGUGUCAGUGUGUGAGAGCUGACUAGAAAACAUUUCCAUCACUCCUUCUUAAAAUACCAAUUGAAUAAACUACAUAUAUAUAUAUAUCUCACUUCAGUUUCUUCUCCCAUUUUCAUUGGAAGCAUUAACAGGUAAGAUGAUGGUAUGUGACACAGAACGUUUUAAACAGUUUCUUUUCAAUCAUUAAAGUACCUGCACAGUACAAAAAGCCACAGAAAUGCACAAACAGAGGGAUUUGUCUCUAAAUACCUAGAAGUCUUCUGAGAAGUAAAACCAUAUAAUAAUUGAGCUGCCAGGGUAUUUCUUAUCCAUUGAGGAACAGAACCUAGAAAUGUUUAUUACUCUGUAUUAAAUGAAAGAAGUAUUUUCUAUACUAUGUAGCUAAUGGCAAGAAUAUUUUGGCAUUGCAGUUAGAAAUGUACUUGGAAUUUUUAGGAAACAAAAAAAAAGCAACUAUAUUUUCAGAAGGAAAGAUAGAACUAAGAAAACAUGUCAUGUUUGUGCUACCCUGAAAAAUACAUCUUUGGCAAUACCCAGGCUGUGUUUUUUCUGGUUUCAGAUACUCUCUUGUUUAGCUUAAAAAAAAAUGUUUACAGUAAUAUUACCUCAACAUAAAUGGGGGGGUUCUCCCUUUGAAUUUUUAUUGGGAUUUUGAGAGAAAAAAUCUUUCUCAGCAGGAAGCUGGAGGCAAGAUUUGUUUUGCUGAAGAGCUCCAGGAUGCUGCUCAGUUCCAUCAGACAUAUUUUAUGUGAUACCAGCUCAAAAACCAGUAGAAACAUUCCUUACUUAUCCUCAUCUAGGCUUGUGAGUCAUUAGAUAGAUUUUCAGGACCCGAGACAUACAAAGGUGCAGGUUAAUAAAUUUAUUCAAAGAAAACCUUUCUCAAAUGGCAGAAGAUAAUGAUGUAUGGAAAUAGAGAUGUGCUACAUGGCCUUUCAUGGUAUUUACAUUUAGCUGGUAGCAGAGAGUUGGAGGUCCCCUAUCUCCAGUGGUGAUGCAGACUGCCAGGAUGAUUUGAUUAUGACAUAUUCAAGUAUAUGGGCCUCUGAGUGACUAGUAUAGCUGGCACCUGGAGGCUUUGCUAUGCUGUUUUGGAAGACAUCACCACCAAAGGCUGCUUUGGGUGGCUGCAGCUCCAGGGACCCCGUGGCUGUGCUCCUGGGAGGGUCCCACAGCAAAGCAACAGGACCCUGAGCUGAGGAACCUCUUUAUCUGGGAGCUGAAGCAAAGGGAGAAUGGUGACAGUGGCCGAGGUUUAUUCCCUAUGUGGUGUGAAGCAAACCCAUGCCUAUGCAAUGCCCCACCUCCCAGAGGGAUGUCCCACACCUGUCCCAGAGAUGCAAGGAUUGAGGUAUGGAACAGCUUCCACAUGGCAGAGUAUAUUUUGGGGUGAAACAGAAGCAAUGCUUUCAUUGGGGAGAAAAUAAGUA